GAGCCUCGGUAUACCAUUGGAUGCCCUCUGAGCAAUUGCAGCCCAGUGGUGGUUGGGUUGAACAACCAUCACGCCUCUCCCGUCCAGCGCCCUGUCAGGUCAAUCGUACAGAUUAUCUUUGUGUGGAAUGAAUACUAGUAUCAAGGAGAAAUUGCUUUGUGAAAUUUAUCGGCGUCUACUAAGGCCGAUAAAAAUCAAAUCCAGGCUCACUGAUCGGACCAUGGUGAUGGUGAUGGAUUCACACCUGGACAGCGCCCAAUUUGCAUUUCUAGUCAAGAUUUGGUUAUGAACUCCAUUCAAAGAGACUUGGAGAAUAAUCGUUGCAACACGUGUCAAAUGGGAUCUCCCAUUCGAACAGUGCUCCUCUUAUUUUGUUGUGUCUUUGUUUUCCUCCUAUGUUUCUUCAGACUUCCCUCUGAAAUGGAUUUGAAGGCUGGCUACUCUGAAUCAAUCAUCAACACCUCCGGUGCAACUCAGCUAUUGCAACUCAGGAAAAGAGGCCCAAGACAGG
rnacentral:sRNA from 1 species